rnacentral:rRNA from 1 species
UGGGGAAUAUUGCACAAUGGGCGCAAGCCUGAUGCAGCCAUGCCGCGUGUAUGAAGAAGGCCUUCGGGUUGUAAAGUACUUUCAGCGGGGAGGAAGGUGUUGUGGUUAAUAACCACAGCAAUUGACGUUACCCGCAGAAGAAGCACCGGCUAACUCCGUGCCAGCAGCCGCGGUAAUACGGAGGGUGCAAGCGUUAAUCGGAAUUACUGGGCGUAAAGCGCACGCAGGCGGUCUGUCAAGUCGGAUGUGAAAUCCCCGGGCUCAACCUGGGAACUGCAUCCGAAACUGGCAGGCUUGAGUCUUGUAGAGGGGGGUAGAAUUCCAGGUGUAGCGGUGAAAUGCGUAGGGAUCUGGAGGAAUACCGGUGGCGAAGGCGGCCCCCUGGACAAAGACUGACGCUCAGGUGCGAAAGCGUGGGGAGCAAACA